AUCAACAUACUGACGUGGUUCCAUAAACUGCAGGUCUCUCUCUCUCUCUUCAGCCACUCGUUUCUUUAGUCUGCCUCUAAAAGACAGGAAGACAAGCGGAGCCGGGAGGAGGAGGAGGAGUGUGUAAGGAAAUCCUGUGACUCAUGAGAAAAGAGGAUACCUGCCGUUUCACUGAUCCCAGCACAGAUUGAGAAACACUCAGCCGUAAUUGGGUAAUUUUCCCAUUUUGUCUGUCCGACGUUGGCGUCAGGAAACGCAGCAGGAGGGAGGAGGCGGGGUGAGCGCUCCCUGUCCCGGCCGCUGGUGCAGAAGCAGAAGGUCGUGAGGUAAAGGCCAAAGUGUUAGUGUUAGCAAAGGCAUCUGAGGUAGCGGGUUGGAACCCGAAGCGGCGGCUCAGGUAACUCCCGCCGACACAAAUUCUCUCUCCUCUGCCUUCCGUCGCCAGUGGGACGGUGUCCCUCCCCAAGGUCGCCGUGCAGGUCAUCUCUCUUCUCCUCGCCGGCACCGGGCUGCACUGUAUCGAACACACCGCGUGCUAUUGUGCCGCACCGUGCCGGGUAGGAGGCAGCGCUCAUGUGAUGCUCAAAGUGAGGGGGGGGUUGGUGAAUGGCUGUCAUUCAUAAGAGCCUUCAGACACUGAUCCUGCCAGUCAGCUGCUGCUGGCCUCCUCCUGC
ensembl:lncRNA